CUCUGUCUCUCCUGCCACCAUGUGAAGAAGGUGCUUGUUUCCCCUUUGCCUUCCGCCAUGAGUGUAAGUUUCCUGAGGUCUCCCAGUCAUACUGCUGGUUAAGCCUGCAGAACGGCUGGUCUUGAACUCCCAGCCUCAAGCCAUCCUCCCGCCUUGGCCUUUCAAAGUGCUGGAUUACAAGCGUGAGCCACCGUGCACAGCCAAGACACAAUUUUAAAUCGAGCGGUCAGGAAGCCUCCUGGAGAAAAUGACGUUUGAACAAAGACAUGAAGAAAGUGGAGAAUAUUUGGAGAAAAGCAUUUCAGGCAGAGGAAAGUGCCAGGGCAGAGGCCCCGAGGCAGGAGGAAGCAACAGAAAACAGGGAAGCAGGUGUCCCAGGAGGAGCCCAAUGCCAUGGAAAGAUGGGAAAAGAGGUGGUGGAUGAGAUCCUGGAUUCUUAUAAACUUUAUCUACUCCACUUGCACAGAUGAUGGAGGAUUUGAGGAGUGUCAGUGAAUGCUCUGUGUGGACUGAACUUGGAGCAGACUGGGGCUGGAACUCUCCAGGGAGGGCAACUUUGACCGAGACAUCUUAGGGUUUGCCAAGUCCUCAGCAGAUGUUUUUUGAUGUGCCUUGAGAUCCUCAAAUGAGAAGGGCAGUGGGAUUCUUCCCUCUCCAGCCAGGACCACAUCUGUGCUUUUCUGUAAUUGUGUAAAAAAAAAAAAAAAAA
rnacentral:lncRNA from 10 species